UAGGGAAUAUUGGUAAUCUGGGAAACCGCGAACCAGCAACGCCGCGUGCGCGAUGAAGGACUUCGGGUUGUAAAGCGCUUUUUGAGAGGAUGAGGAAGGACAGUACUCUUAGAAUAAGCAUCGGCUAACUACGUGCCAGCAGCCGCGGUAAAACGUAGGAGGCAAACGUUAUCCGGAUUUACUGGGCGUAAAGCGCGUGUAGGUGGUUCUGUAAGUAGGGCGUGAAAGCUCCUUGCUCAACUGGGAGAGGCCGUUCUAAACUGCAGAGCUAGAGGAUGGUAGAGUGAUGUUGAAUUCCGGGUUUAGCUGUGGAAUGCGCAGAUAUCCGUAGGAACACCAGUGGCGAAAGCGGCCUCCUGGACCAUUCCUGACACUCAGACGCGAAAGCUAGGGUAGCAAACG
rnacentral:rRNA from 1 species